rnacentral:rRNA from 1 species
UACGGGGGGGGCAAGCGUUGUUCGGAAUUACUGGGCGUAAAGGGUUUGUAGGUGGCUUGUUAAGUCAGACGUGAAAUCCCUCAGCUUAACUGGGGAACUGCGUCUGAGACUGGUGAGCUUGAGUGCAGGAGAGGAACGCGGAAUUCCAGGUGUAGCGGUGAAAUGCGUAGAUAUCUGGAGGAACACCAAUAGCGAAGGCAGCUCGCUGGGACGGUACUGACGCUGAGGCGCGAAAGCGUGGGGAGCGAACAGG